CCUACGGGUGGCAGCAGUGGGGAAUAUUGCACAAUGGGGGAAACCCUGAUGCAGCGACGCCGCGUGAAGGAAGAAGCAUUUCGGUAUGUAAACUUCUAUCAGCAGGGAAGAAAAUGACGGUACCGGACUAAGAAGCCCCGGCUAACUACGUGCCAGCAGCCGCGGGAAUACGUAGGGGGCAAGCGUUAUCCGGAUUUACUGGGUGUAAAGGGAGCGGAGGCGGUUUAGCAAGUCAGAAGUGAAAGCCCGGGGCUCAACUCCGGGACUGCUUUUGAAACUGUUGAACUAGAUGGCAGGAGAGGUAAGUGGAAUUCCUAGUGUAGCGGUGAAAUGCGUAGAUAUUAGGAGGAACACCAGUGGCGAAGGCGGCUUACUGGACUGUAAAUGACGCUGAGGCUCGAAAGCGUGGGGAGCAAACAGGAUUAGAUACCCUUGUAGUC
rnacentral:rRNA from 1 species